GAAAGGUAGGGAACUGAAGACUGGAUAAUCCAGAGACCUAUGGUAGAACCAAGCGUGUCUGGUGAAAAGAAAAACAACAUACUGGAUGGAUUUGUGUGUCAACUUGACAAAAGCUAGGAUCAUCAGAGGAAGGAGCUUCAGUUGAGGAAAUGACUUGAUGAGAUCCAGCUGUAAGAUCAUCCACUCUCUGAACAUAUUACCAACAGAUGGCUGGAAGAAACAAGUGAAGAAAAGGAUGUUGACAUCUAUAGACCGUCUUCAUUUGUUGAUGGAAGUGCCACUAAAUCUGUUCUGGCAUAGGUCUCAAGUGACAGGCCAGCUUGUAUAGCAGCCUACAUGCUACAUAGCCAUCUAUUCUCGUCAAGAUUUGGUAGCCUUCUCUAUUAUCCAGUUGAUGGGUCGGAUCAUUUGAUUAUAUGCCAUUUUAACAUUAAAUGAGAAGAAAUCCCAAUGUCCACAUUUUUAGCAAUUGUCAAUGUAAGGUAUAACAACUAGUCUUUUGCUCCUGGGAGAUUUUCCAGAGAUGCUUUAGACCAUUGGGUUCCUAGAUACACCAUGUUGUAAAACUUCAUUUUCAUGGGUGUAUUUUGUAUUUUAUGACAUGGACAUGUCUUCCAAAGAUAUUCACCACAUUUGGCUUAUUUGGUCCAGUCAAUGUGAUGUCUUCCAUAUAACGGAGCAAAUUUUCUAAGAGACAAUGGUGAUGGGGGAGUGUCAUAUAUCAAUCUGUUGAUUAUAUUGGUUAAGCAAUAAAGAAACUCCUUGGCCCUGAUAGGUUAAAACAUAGGUGGGAGGAGUAAACAGAAUAGGAUGCUGGGAGGAAGAGGAAGUGAGCUCAGACUUGACAGCUCUGCUCUCUGGAGCAGAGACGCCAGGCUCCGCUCUCCCAGGCAGCUCCAACCCAGGAUGGACGUAGGCUGGAAUCUUCCCGCAAUACACUAAAACAGAAGAAACAGCUGUAACCACCAUCAUCACCUGCUCAAGUUUUGUCCUCUG